UACAGAGGGGGCAAGCGUUGUUCGGAAUUACUGGGCGUAAAGGGCGCGUAGGCGGCCUUCUAAGUCGAACGUGAAAUCCCUGGGCUCAACCCAGGAACUGCGUCCGAUACUGGGAGGCUUGAAUCCGGGAGAGGGAUGCGGAAUUCCAGGUGUAGCGGUGAAAUGCGUAGAUAUCUGGAGGAACACCGGUGGCGAAGGCGGCAUCCUGGACCGGCAUUGACGCUGAGGCGCGAAAGCGUGGGGAGCAAACAGG
rnacentral:rRNA from 1 species